UCCGUAGGUGAACCUGCGGAGGGAUCAUUACCGAGUACUACACUCAUAACCCUUUGUGAACCAUUAUACCUGUUGCUUCGGCGGCGUCCCUCGCGGGCGCCCGCCGGUCUCAUCAGAAUCUCUGUUUUCGAACCCGACGAUACUUCUGAGUGUUCUUAGCGAACUGUCAAAACUUUUAACAACGGAUCUCUUGGCUCCAGCAUCGAUGAAGAACGCAGCGAAACGCGAUAUGUAAUGUGAAUUGCAGAAUUCAGUGAAUCAUCGAAUCUUUGAACGCACAUGGCGCCUUCCAGUAUCCUGGGAGGCAUGCCUGUCCGAGCGUCGUUUCAACCCUCGAGCCCUCGUGGCCCGGCGUUGGGGAUCUGCCACGGCAGGCCCCGAAAUACAGUGGCGGACCCGUUAGGCCCUUCCUUUGCGUAGUAGCAUUAGCCUCGCAUCGGGAGCCGGCGGGCUCUCCUGCCUCUAAACCCCCCAACAAGCCCGCUCCGGCGGCACCAAGGUUGACCUCGGAUCAGGUAGGAAUACCCGCUGAACUUAAGCAUAUCAAUAAGCGGAGGA
rnacentral:rRNA from 1 species